rnacentral:rRNA from 1 species
ACAUCCCGAGAUUGGUGCCCCCUUGGGGUCGGUGUACCGGUGGUGCAUGGCUGUCGUCAGCUCGUGUCGUGAGAUGUUGGGUUAAGUCCCGCAACGAGCGCAACCCUUGUUCUGUGUUGCCAGCAUGCCCUUCGGGGUGAUGGGGACUCACAGGAAACCGCCGGGGUCAACUCGGAGGAAGGUGGGGACGACAUCAAGUCAUCAUGCCCCUUAUGUCUUGGGCUGCACACGUGCUACAAUGGCCGGUACAAUGAGCUGCGAUACCGUGAGGUGAAGCGAAUCUCAAAAAGCCGGUCUCAUUUCGGAUUGGGGUCUGCAACUCAACCCCAUGAAUUCGAAUUCGCUAGUAAUCGCAAAUCACCAUUGCUGCGGUGAAUACAUUCCCGGGCCUUGUACACACC